rnacentral:rRNA from 1 species
UACGAAGGGUGCAAGCGUUAAUCGGAAUUACUGGGCGUAAAGCGUGCGCAGGCGGUGAUGUAAGACAGAUGUGAAAUCCCCGGGCUCAACCUGGGAACUGCAUUUGUGACUGCACGGCUCGAGUGCGGCAGAGGGGGAUGGAAUUCCGCGUGUAGCAGUGAAAUGCGUAGAUAUGCGGAGGAACACCGAUGGCGAAGGCAAGUCCCUCGGUGGCCCAUU